rnacentral:rRNA from 1 species
UCCGGUUGAUCCUGCCGGAGGUUACUGCUAUCGGUGUUCGCCUAAGCCAUGCGAGUCAUAUGUAGCAAUACAUGGCGUACUGCUCAGUAACACGUGGAUAACCUGCCCUUGGGACCGGCAUAACCCCGGGAAACUGGGGAUAAUUCCGGAUAACGCAUAUGUGCUGGAAUGCUUUAUGCGUAAAAUGGAUUCGUCUGCCCAAGGAUGGGUCUGCGGCCUAUCAGGUAGUAGUGGGUGUAAUGUACCUACUAGCCAGCGACGGGUACGGGUUGUGAGAGCAAGAGCCCGGGGAUGGAUUCUGAGACAUGAAUCCAGGCCCUACGGGGCGCAGCAGGUGCGAAAACUUUACAAUGCGGGAAACCGUGAUAAGGGGACACCGAGUGCCAGCAUCAUAUGCUGGCUGUCCAGGUGUGUAAAAUACACCUGUUAGCAAGGGCCGGGCAAGACCGGUGCCAGCCGCCGCGGUAACACCGGCGGCCCGAGUGGUGAUCGUGAUUAUUGGGUCUAAAGGGUCCGUAGCCGGUUUGGUCAGUCCUCCGGGAAAUCUGAUAGCUCAACUAUUAGGCUUUCGGGGGAUACUGCCAGACUUGGAACCGGGAGAGGUAAGAGGUAC